rnacentral:rRNA from 1 species
UACGUAGAAGACUAGUGUUAUUCAUCUUUAGUAGGUUUAAAGGGUACCUAGACGGUAUUACUAGCCCAGGAUAGGGUACGGUAUUGCUAGAGUUUUAUAUGAGAAGGGGGAGUAUUCAUGGAGUAGAGAUAAAAAUUUUUUUUUUUUUUUUGAUACCAUGACGACUGGCAGCGGCGAAAGGCAACCUUUUAUCUAAUAACUGACGUUUGAGGGACGAAGGCUUGGGUAGCAAACAGG